CAACUCGACUCCAUGAAGUCGGAAUCGCUAGUAAUCGUAGAUCAGAAUGCUACGGUGAAUACGUUCCCGGGCCUUGUACACACCGCCCGUCACACCAUGGGAGUGGGUUGCAAAAGAAGUAGGUAGCUUAACCUUCGGGAGGGCGCUUACCACUUUGUGAUUCAUGACUGGGGUGAAGUCGUAACAAGGUAACCGUAGGGGAACCUGCGGUUGGAUCACCUCCUUA
rnacentral:rRNA from 1 species